GUGCAAUUCACUUCACUAUUGUGAACCUCCUCUUACUCAUUUGAAAAAGAGGAUGAUGAUACUUCAUAGAAAUAUUAAGAAAUACAACUGUGAUACUACCUAUGAAAAUACCUUGUAAAUUUUGAAACCCAGCAUAAGUGCACUCACAGCUGCAGAAAUAUGGCAUACAUGAAAGAAAAAUGGGGCAAAACCUACUAUGCCACCUUCAGAACCAACCCAUUACAUGUGAAGAACAUUCUUUCAAUAACUUGAGAACCUUCUUGAACCCCAAGUUUCGCUGCCUUGACACUUUGAGAAGGCUGGAGAUGAUUGCUAGCCCAGAGAACAAUGCUCAAAAGUAGGUUCAGCAUGAGGUCAUCAGGAGGAUGUGUUGGGCUGGGUAACUGUAUUUAACUUAGAAGAUGAGCAAGGGCAAGAACACCACCAUGACCACCUCCAAGGUGACUAUAGACGUCCUGUGAGCCAACACAAUGUCUUCUUCAUUCCUAUGUUCCUCAGACACAGCACAGAGCCACACGAACGGAAGCAUAAAAACAACUUACAAUUCUCAAUUUAGAAGAUCUUACUUUAAUGGGAGCUCAUAUUUAUACUCCUCCCAAGACACACACACAAUAGUCUCUGUACAUACCGUUAAAUUUAGUCCUUUUUUCUUUUUCAAAAAGGAAGCAUCUGGAAUGCUUCAAUAACGAAAAAAGUACAUGAUAUGUUAAAUAUGCAGUGCCAAAGAAACACUCGGGAGAAAGUCCAGCAUGCAAUUGGAAAUUCAAGGCUGCUCAUCAGUGGAGUAGCAAGUCUGAAAACAUUUGUCAACUCUGCUUGAUCUUUCCACAUACCUCAUCGGCUGGCCCCUUGGGCCCAGAUUUCAACUGAUACUUCUGGCAGAAAAUGCUUGUACCAGUCUACGCCUAACAAUAAAGAACCCAGUUCCCAACUUCGACAUUUGGCUGGUGCUCCGGUGACGCCUGUCCCAAAAGAGAAAAGCCAAAGAAGUAAAUCUGAGUUACCUGAACAGAAAUUAAAAUUUCCCACAUAAAUAAAUCUCAUGAUUUCCAA
rnacentral:lncRNA from 10 species